GAGAGCCCGGUGCAUUGAAAGGUGCACGCCGGGUUCGGGAAGCGGUCCGGGGAGACGGGAAUGCCGCAAGGCAUUCACCGCGCCCCGGGCCGACUUUCAU
rnacentral:ncRNA from 1 species